CCACUCGAUCGCAUUCUCUCCCACGUUGGUUUUCCGCUUGAAAAAAUUAUGUACGUGAGUGGACGCGAUCACGUUCUCUCUCUCGCUCCCGAAAGAACCCACACCAACCGGCUCCCCUGGCCCUACCCCUCCCGAUCUGGUCGAUGCCACAAUCUCGCCACCGAAUCCGGCGUUGCCCACCUCCUCUUCCAAUCUUGUGAGCUGCAGUCCGCCACCACCGAUGCCGCUCGGUUACCGUCCGGAACUUGCCACUUGCGAUGGUCCGAGGCCGCCGAAGCCGGCGACUUCGAAGCAUCCGCCCGGAGCUACUUCGCCCUCGACGUUGAGGAGGGAGUGGGCCUAAGCUCCUGGUCUCCCAGGGCCCGCCGCCGCUGGGCUCAUACAUGGCGCCGAUCCGGUCACCGGCCACUGCUCCCUCUCAGUUCGUGCUCCCUCCUACCUCACCUUCCCCUGUUUUUGUUCCGCAGGUUCUUGAGGCCAGGUGCGGGCGUGCACCAACUAGCGACUCGGAGAGGAGCUUUGGCGGUAAGGACCAUACAGCUUAGUUUCUCCUGGGAUCACGUUCUCCGAACGUCCAUUGAGUUUCCGAGCAAAGUCUCUGCCUCCAAGUUCAAUCAUCUACACAUCCACGCCGAGGCGGGGAGCUUGUACAUGUGUUCCUGGAGGCUGUACUAAUGAAGGAAGACAAGCAAGUCGUCGAUUGCUGCAAUUGGGCGGUAGGGAAGAUCGGAGUCAACCAGUGUGACGGUUGUCAAGGCAACAGUAACCUUCUAAAGGACCUUCUAUAGUCUCCUGCCAACGCCGGAUUAGAUCGAGGUCGCGGUUGAUUUGGUGAAUUGCGCGUACCUAGGGCUGAACCGAGAACGCUGGGAGGGAUCGCCUCAUGACGCUCGGAGAACUCGUCACACUCGGCAGCCCCAAGCAGCGGCCCAAAACAUCUUCAAGUUCAAUGGAUCAAGAAGGUUGUUCCUGUUGCUGAUGUGUGCUGGUUAUAACUUGGAUUCCAUGGAUGAUGAUGAGAUUCUGGCGGUAGUGUUUUCAUCUGAUAUCUUUGAUAUUUUAUUUACUGAAUAACCUUCCUAGAAUCACAUAAGCAUAUCGCCUUAUCAUGUCAUAGUGCAGCUGAACCUGAGCGUAAUUGCAGGCUAUAGCUCUUUAUUAUCUAUAUAUAUUGAAUGACUGAAUGGUGACACUAUAUUGAACUCGUCAAUUCUUCACCACAUUGUUUGUUUUGA